rnacentral:rRNA from 1 species
CCUACGUGUGGCAGCAGUGAGGAAUAGUGGUCAAUGGACGCAAGUCUGAACCAGCCAUGCCGCGUGCAGGAAGACGGCUCUAUGAGUUGUAAACUGCUUUUGUACGAGGGUAAACGCAGAUACGCGUAUCUGUCUGAAAGUAACGUACGAAUAAGGAUCGGCUAACUCCGUGCCAGCAGCCGCGGUAAUACGGAGGAUUCAAGCGUUAUCCGGAUUUAUUGGGUUGAAAGGGUGCGUAGGCGGUCGGAUAAGUUAGAGGUGAACUCCCGUGGCUCAACUUCGGAAUGGCCUCUGAUACUGUUCGGCUAGAGCGUAGUUGCGGUCGGCGGACUG